CACCCCUGCCACCCCUCACCGACCCAAGCGUGGCCGUGUGUUCUCUCCUCUUCCAUCUACGUCUCGUGGGUUGCUGGAUGAUGAUGAUGAAGACGUGGAUGACCCACAACCACUGCCUUCUGCUGAACUCCUCCCCUCUACAGCAGUGAGAUCAUCCAAACGGAGGAGGGGGCCCCAGAAUCCAGUUGUAGGGCAACCGCUGAGGAGUGUGGGCUCAACACUACGUGGAAGGGACAAGAGGAAAACUGUGUGGAGGCCUGAUUCGAAAAGUAACCUUACCAGGUUGCAGGUGACAUACGACACUCCAGGAAAAACCUCCGAUGUGUUUGAUGGGUUGGAAAACAUUGAUGAAUACUUCCACCAGUUCAUCGAUGACUACAUGCUGGCUAUGGUUACAUUGCACACUAAUGACAGGGUCGCCAAUGUUAUGAGGGGUGCGGUGCGGCGCCUUGGUAUCCCAAGACUGAGCAUCAGCCUCCGUAGCCUCAUACGUAACACUUUCAAUGUCCCACCUGAGGAGAGGCCAGCAACACAGCAAAAGAAAACUGAGAAGAGGCAGCGGUGCUUCCUCUGCCCCACCAGAGAGCAGGGACGAACCCGGGUCUGCUGCAGUGGAUGUGGGAAGUCCGUGUGUGCAUCCCACUACUCUGUCUUCUGCCCCUCCUGUUGCUAGGCGUGGAUUUUGCAGAGAACUGGGACUGUGCAGGCUGUGAGAGACAACUGUAAUACACCGAUCUCCAGAGGCUUUAUUUUUUUGUAUGGACAUAAGUAUUUAUUUUUUAUUUUUUUCUAAUGAUAGUUAAAAUAAGGUAGAAGUUUUUUGUAUUCUUUGUAAUAAAGUACAUAAAGCAU